rnacentral:rRNA from 2 species
UGGGGAAUAUUGCACAAUGGGGGAAACCCUGAUGCAGCGACGCCGCGUGGAGGAAGAAGGUCUUCGGAUUAUAAACUCCUGUUGUUGGGGAAGAUAAUGACGGUACCCAACAAGGAAGUGACGGCUAACUACGUGCCAGCAGCCGCGGUAAAACGUAGGUCACAAGCGUUGUCCGGAAUUACUGGGUGUAAAGGGAGCGCAGGCGGGAAGACAAGUUGGAAGUGAAAUCUAUGGGCUCAACCCAUAAACUGCUUUCAAAACUGUUUUUCUUGAGUAGUGCGGAGGUAGGCGGAAUUCCCGGUGUAGCGGUGGAAUGCGUAGAUAUCGGGAGGAACACCAGUGGCGAAGGCGGCCUACUGGGCACUAACUGACGCUGAGGCUCGAAAGUGUGGGUAGCAAACAGGAUUAGAUACCCUGGUAGUCCACACCGUAAACGAUGAUUACUAGGUGUUGGAGGAUUGACCCCUUCAGUGCCGCAGUUAACACAAUAAGUAAUCCACCUGGGGAGUACGACCGCAAGGUUGAAACUCAAAGGAAUUGACGGGGGCCCGCACAAGCAGUGGAGUAUGUGGUUUAAUUCGACGCAACGCGAAGAACCUUACCAAGUCUUGACAUCCCUUGACAGGCAUAGAAAUAUGUUUUCUCUUCGGAGCAAGGAGACAGGUGGUGCAUGGUUGUCGUCAGCUCGUGUCGUGAGAUGUUGGGUUAAGUCCCGCAACGAGCGCAACCCUUAUGGUCAGUUACUACGCAAGAGGACUCUGGCCAGACUGCCGUUGACAAAACGGAGGAAGGUGGGGAUGACGUCAAAUCAUCAUGCCCUUUAUGACUUGGGCUACACACGUACUACAAUGGCGUUAAACAAAGAGAAGCAAGACCGCGAGGUGGAGCAAAACUCAGAAACAACGUCCCAGUUCGGACUGCAGGCUGCAACUCGCCUGCACGAAGUCGGAAUUGCUAGUAAUCGUGGAUCAGCAUGCCACGGUGAAUACGUUCCC